AAAAACCUUGUGUUCUUUCUACAGUGCAGGGUAAAACUUUAUAAAGGAUUCCAGCUCAUUUGUCCAUGAAUCAGUAAAUCUGAUAAAUUAAAUGCAGAGAAAAAACUACAAUCUUAACUAAUAAGAGCCAAGACACAUUUCUGAAUGUUGAUACGUUUAAAAUUGAAUCAGAUUGCAGUGAGAAAUGACAUGAAUGUAUUUUUUUUAUUGUGGGCACGUGAAUGUAAAUAUUAUAAGGCUAAAAUCCUAAUGUAUAUAACACAAUAUAUAUACAUUUUAUAUACUUAUAAAUAAAUGUUGAGAAAAAGUGCUGUAAGGACAUUUACACGUCUUAUACGGUCUGUGACACAUACAGCACCAUAGGCUCUUUUGGGUUAAACAACAGAGAGGAUUGGCUCUCCGUGAGGAGCGCAGCUAGUGAAGUUCAAGCGGGAAUGGAGGGGGCGUGGCCAAUAGUGAGAACUCCGGCGACGCCGAACGAAGAGGGCGGGGCUAUCGCGCAGAGAGAACACGAGAGGUUGUGACGUCUUAAGCAGAAUGUCAGCGUGUUCCACUGUGACGUCACACAGGUAUAAAGAGAAGAGAUUACACCCAGUGUCUUCACACAGCGUGAGAGCAUCAGAGAUCGAGCAGCUGUUUGGGAAUUUAGUGAACUUAAAUCUUCAAUAGCUGCUGAUCUGUAUCAUGACGCUGUUUGGAAAGAAGAAGAGAGGAGAACCAAGGCGUUCUAAACGUCAAACAGCCACCCACAGGCUCGUGGAGUGUAUCAGAGUUAAAAGAGCUCAGUUUUGGUCAAGGAAUGCUCAGACAUUUGAGAAGCAGAGAAGGAAGGAGCAGCUCCAGAGAGAGCGAGAAGAAGAGUCUGAUGAGAAGACCGUUCAGGAGAAGAUGACAGGACCAAAUGAAGAGCAGGAAAGUGAAGGACUGGCGCUGAGAGUAAUAGAGGAGGCUACACAUAAGCCACAAGAGAGUGAAAAUGGAAUGGAAGAAAGGAAGAAAGAAGAGAAGACGAGGAUGCGAAGUCAGGAGAAGAGCCAGGAACCAAGACAGUGUGGUAAACUGGGCAUUAAGGACCUGCUCACGUUCGCUUUGAUAGGUUCAGCUGAGAUUCUAAUAAUGGCUGGUUUUAUUGCAUGGGCAUUCCACUUUAUAACCGCAGACCUAAUCUAAAUAGAUUUAAACAGCACCCACCCUUCCUACAAAAGCCCACCAACCCCAUCUGGAAAUAAAAUCUAAUUCUCAUAGACA
rnacentral:lncRNA from 1 species